UGUUUGUCUUAAUGUAAGAUUCAAUGUAUGGCCUUGUUGAUGUCAAAAAUCUGAUGAUAUAUGAAUACAUAGAUGGAUGGAGCUCUAGUAAACAAUUUGUAUCUGUUAGCUAGGCUGGUUUUAAGCUUCUGUCUCUAUUGAUUAGCAGUAAUUGCAGUUUUCAAAUCAAUGCAGAAAAAUUGGUUGGCAGUUUUUGUCCAUAAUUGGUCUCUUGUAGCAAAACAACUUGUCUCAGGGCCAUUACUGAAAUACAAAGUAAUGAAGUAGUUUUCUGCAAAGAAAUCAUAGAUUUUUCCACUGAAACUUAUGGUGACCUUUCUCCACUUAAAAUAGGGAGAUUU
rnacentral:lncRNA from 1 species